rnacentral:rRNA from 1 species
UGCAGGCUGCAACCCGCCUGCAUGAAGUCGGAAUUGCUAGUAAUCGCGGAUCAGCAUGCCGCGGUGAAUACGUUCCCGGGCCUUGUACACACCGCCCGUCACACCAUGGGAGCCGGUAAUACCCGAAGUCAGUAGUCCAACCACGUGAGGACGCUGCCGAAGGUAGGAUUGGCGACUGGGGUGAAGUCGUAACAAGGUACC